rnacentral:rRNA from 1 species
UACGUAGGCAGCAAGCGUUGUUCGGAGUUACUGGGAGUAAAGAGUGCGUAGGCGGUCCUGUAAGUUUGGUGUGAAAUCUCCCGGCUCAACUGGGAGGGUGCGCCGAAGACUGCAGGGCUUGAGUAUGGGAGAGGUAAGCGGAAUUCCUGGUGUAGCGGUGAAAUGCGUAGAUAUUCGGAAGAACACCAGUGGCGAAGGCGACUUACUGGACACAUAUUGACGCUGAGGUGCGAAAGCGUGGGGAGCAAACAGG